rnacentral:rRNA from 1 species
UAGCGGAGCGUGUGGUUUAAUUCGAUGCAACACGAAGAACCUUACCAAGGCUUGACAUGCUAGUGGUAGGAACCCGAAAGGGGGACGACCAGCCUUCGGGUUGGAGCUAGCACAGGUGCUACAUGGCUGUCGUCAGCUCGUGCCGUGAGGUGUUGGGUUAAGUCCCAUAACGAGCGCAACCCCUGUUCUGUGUUGAUUUCUCACAGGAAACUGCCCAGGAAUUCUGGGAGGAAGGUGGGGAUGACGUCAAGUCAGCAUGGCCUUUAUGCCUUGGGCCCCACCCCACGCUACAAUGGGUGGUACAAAGGGCAGCGAAAGAGCGAUCUGGAGCUAAUCCCAUAAAGCCACCCCCAGUUCAGAUUGCAGGCUGAAACCCGCCUGCAUGAAGGUGGAGUUGCUAGUAACCGCAUAA